rnacentral:rRNA from 1 species
UUCGAAAGGGGAGUUGUGCUAACCAAUGAUAACCUUGCAUGUCGCAAUUGGCAAGGAAGCAACAAGUGCAGCUGUCGUACUGAUGAUGAGACCAUCAAACACCUCUUUUUCCAAUGUAAAUUUGCAUGUUCUACGUGGUCAGUCAUCCAAAUAACUUCUAAUUUGUAUCCACCCACAAGUGCAGCCAAUAUUUUUGGUUAUUGGUUGGACGGUAUUCCAAAUAGGUUCCGAACGCUGAUGAGGGUAGGAGUGUAUGCCUUAUUAUGGACACUCUAA